UCCAAAUUAUUGUUAAGUGAAAAUAAGGUAGUGUUUAUCCAAGCCAACCAGGAAAUGGGCUUAGGAGCGGCCAUUUUUUAAAGAUCUCGUAACAGAGCACUGGUUUUAUACAUUUUUGUAUGUAUUGUUAGAUGCACCUAAAAUUUAACGGAUCUAAAUAAUAUACCGAGACCUUGUCCAUAAAUAUUUAUAUGUACAAGUUACAUAUAAUAUUUAUGGGGUAGCGGAACAUUGGGCAUAUCUCAGAUUUUUUCUUUUUAAGACUUAAGAUUAGAUGACCCAAGUGAUAAUGCUGACAUGAGUAACGAUAAAGGGUUUAUACCCUCGCCUAAAGCUUAUGGAAUUUACUUAAAGUAACGGCCUCUAAGUUUAAAUUUGCUAUAGUUUAAACAAACAACACUUGAUACCUAACUCUAACAGACGAUACAAGUGCAAAAUAGUAAACACCUAAUGGUAUAAACGAUGAGAAAAAGCUAAGUUUUACAGAUAUAAAUAGCAUGAGUGUUGCAGGUAGGUAUUAUAUAUAUAAUGGAUUUUUUUUUAUUCUUUUUAUGCGUUAUUAUCCUUUGCACUAUUCUGGUAUAUCGGUUGUUCUGGGUAUAGGCGGAUGGCCCGAUAUUCAUCC
rnacentral:rRNA from 1 species